rnacentral:rRNA from 1 species
GUGGGGAAUCUUCCGCAAUGGACGAAAGUCUGACGGAGCAACGCCGCGUGAGUGAUGAAGGUCUUCGGAUUGUAAAGCUCUGUUAAUCGGGACGAAAGAGCCUAGUGUGAAUAAUGCUAGGAAGUGACGGUACCGGAAUAGAAAGCCACGGCUAACUACGUGCCAGCAGCCGCGGUAAUACGUAGGUGGCAAGCGUUGUCUGGAAUUAUUGGGCGUAAAGCGCGCGCAGGCGGAUCUGCCAGUCUGUCUUAAAAGUUCGGGGCUUAACCCCGUGAUGGGAUGGAAACUACAGAUCUAGAGUAUCGGAGAGGAAAGUGGAAUUCCUAGUGUAGCGGUGAAAUGCGUAGAUAUUAGGAAGAACACCAGUGGCGAAGGCGACUUUCUGGACGAAAACUGACGCUGAGGCGCGAAAGCCAGGGGAGCGAACGGGAUUAGAUACCCCGGUAGUCC